rnacentral:rRNA from 1 species
UUAAUUGAAGAGUUUGAUCAUGGCUCAGAUUGAACGCUGGCGGCAGGCCUAACACAUGCAAGUCGAGCGGAAACGAAGAGGUGCUUGCACCUYUGGCGUCGAGCGGCGGACGGGUGAGUAAUGCUUGGGAAUAUGCCUUAUGGUGGGGGACAACAGUUGGAAACGACUGCUAAUACCGCAUAAUGUCUACGGACCAAAGUG